UACGUAGGGGGCAAGCGUUGUCCGGAUUUACUGGGCGUAAAGAGCGUGUAGGCGGCCAAGCAGGUCCGUUGUGAAAACUGGAGGCUUAACCUCCAGACGUCGACGGAAACCGCGUGGCUAGAGUCCGGAAGAGGAGAGUGGAAUUCCGAGUGUAGAGGUGAAAUUCGUAGAUAUUCGGAGGACCACCAGUGGCGAAGGCGGCUCACUGGUCCAUUACUGACGCUGAGGUGCGAAAGCGUGGGGAGCAAACAGG
rnacentral:rRNA from 1 species